UGUAACGGGCAAGGCUUGACUGAGGGGACAAUAGCAUGUUUAGGCGAAAAGCGGGGCUUCGGUUGUACGCGGUUAGGAGUCCCCCCUCAGG
rfam:Rous sarcoma virus (Bryan high-titer strain) src gene, 3' end.